rnacentral:misc_RNA from 1 species
AUCGUAUAGUAUUACAAUAUGACUCCUACUAUAUACGAAAUGUUCAUUGGACACCUACUUAUCUGUGGACUAACAUAUCUAAGCCAAUUGUGCUCAAGGAGAUGCGAAAAGUGUGACUGCAAGGCUAGCAAGCUUGCCACCAUCAAUUCUCGACCUCGCAAUCCUGACUUGUAUAGGUGCAUUCGGUUCCUCUUCGCUAUAUACAUUUCCUGAGCCAUGUUG